rnacentral:rRNA from 2 species
GUCAGUGAUGUGCUGCUCAUGAUUUACAUUUGAGUGAGUGGCGAACUGGUGAGUAACACGUGGGAAACCUGCCCAGAAGCGGGGGAUAACACCUGGAAACAGAUGCUAAUACCGCAUAACAACUUGGACCGCAUGGUCCGAGCUUGAAAGAUGGCUUCGGCUAUCACUUUUGGAUGGUCCCGCGGCGUAUUAGCUAGAUGGUGGGGUAACGGCUCACCAUGGCAAUGAUACGUAGCCGACCUGAGAGGGUAAUCGGCCACAUUGGGACUGAGACACGGCCCAAACUCCUACGGGAGGCAGCAGUAGGGAAUCUUCCACAAUGGACGAAAGUCUGAUGGAGCAACGCCGCGUGAGUGAAGAAGGGUUUCGGCUCGUAAAACUCUGUUGUUAAAGAAGAACAUAUCUGAGAGUAACUGUUCAGGUAUUGACGGUAUUUAACCAGAAAGCCACGGCUAACUACGUGCCAGCAGCCGCGGUAAUACGUAGGUGGCAAGCGUUGUCCGGAUUUAUUGGGCGUAAAGCGAGCGCAGGCGGUUUUUUAAGUCUGAUGUGAAAGCCUUCGGCUCAACCGAAGAAGUGCAUCGGAAACUGGGAAACUUGAGUGCAGAAGAGGACAGUGGAACUCCAUGUGUAGCGGUGAAAUGCGUAGAUAUAUGGAAGAACACCAGUGGCGAAGGCGGCUGUCUGGUCUGUAACUGACGCUGAGGCUCGAAAGUAUGGGUAGCAAACAGGAUUAGAUACCCUGGUAGUCCAUACCGUAAACGAUGAAUGCUAAGUGUUGGGAGGGUUUCCGCCCUUCAGUGCUGCAGCUAACGCAUUAAGCAUUCCGCCUGGGGAGUACGGCCGCAAGGCUGAAACUCAAUGGAAUUGACGGGGGCCCGCACAAGCGGUGGAGCAUGUGGUUUAAUUCGAAGCUACGCGAAGAACCUUACCAGGUCUUGACAUACUAUGCAAAUCUAAGAGAUUAGACGUUCCCUUCGGGGACAUGGAUACAGGUGGUGCAUGGUUGUCGUCAGCUCGUGUCGUGAGAUGUUGGGUUAAGUCCCGCAACGAGCGCAACCCUUAUUAUCAGUUGCCAGCAUUAAGUUGGGCACUCUGGUGAGACUGCCGGUGACAAACCGGAGGAAGGUGGGGAUGACGUCAAAUCAUCAUGCCCCUUAUGACCUGGGCUACACACGUGCUACAAUGGAUGGUACAACGAGUUGCGAACUCGCGAGAGUAAGCUAAUCUCUUAAAGCCAUUCUCAGUUCGGAUUGUAGGCUGCAACUCGCCUACAUGAAGUAGGAAUCGGUAGUAUCUCGGACUGCAGCUAUUGCACAGUCGAUCCGCGGCCGCCGCGUA